rnacentral:rRNA from 1 species
UACGAAGGGGGCUAGCGUUGCUCGGAAUUACUGGGCGUAAAGCGCACGUAGGCGGAUCUUUAAGUCAGGGGUGAAAUCCUGGAGCUCAACUCCAGAACUGCCUUUGAUACUGAGGACCUUGAGUUUGGGAGAGGUGAGUGGAACUGCGAGUGUAGAGGUGAAAUUCGUAGAUAUUCGCAAGAACACCAGUGGCGAAGGCGGCUCACUGGCCCGAUACUGACGCUGAGGUGCGAAAGCGUGGGGAGCAAACAGG